CGCGUCCCCGACCUGAGCUCGUUCUCUACGUUCAGCUCUUUCUCUCUCGCUCUUCUCUGAAACCCUAGCGCUCUCCUCCCUCUCCUGCUCUCUUUCCACGGCUACUGUCUCUCCCUCAUUGAACUACUGCCUCCGUCCCCUCACCGGCGCCAUCGCCUCUGCCGGUGUUUCUCUUCCAACACCACCACGUCGUUGCUCCGAGAUCCGAACCCCAACUAGUCCAACCUGCCUCCAAGGAGUUUAUCCUCCUCGAUUGGUGCGACUUCG
rnacentral:lncRNA from 1 species